rnacentral:misc_RNA from 1 species
UUUUACUGUAUGGUAAGGGAGGCCGAGCAGUCAGCUGGGAGAGUAAAUAUAUUUGGGCGGGUAACUGUGAGGUGUUGGAGGGGAGGAUGUGGUACUUUGUAACUGUUCUAGUCUUCAUUUCCUGAGGAAUAAUGUCUGAAGGAACAAUGUCGAUGACUCCCCCUCUGACUCCCCCGGUGGAGAAGGGGGAGGUCAUGAUGGACAGUGACAGCCUUGACUACAUGGAUUUCUUCAUCAGUGAGCUUAAUACAUCUCCAGCCAAGGAAGAAAGAGUAUGUUCCUUGGCUACAAAUGAUGGCCCACUGUUAUUUUCCUGCAUGGGAGAGGUUCGUUGGACCGAGAACAUCAGCAACAUGUCUUGUGUCGGUCAAGAAGUCUUGGCACAGCUCCUUCGGCAUAUAAAUCCCUGUCCCACAGCUCUUCUCUCCUCUGAAGUUAUAUUCAACUUACCGUGCACACAAGACAACCUGCACCUCAAUCUCGCCCACUUUUUUACUGCCGUCAGGCAAGGUGUAACACAACUGGAGAGAGGAGCCCAGUCGGGCUUAUGUAUGACUCAGAGUUGUCACGAUGUUCAGUACCCAAAGAUCCGACAGGACAUUGCGACCUUCUUGAACUGCCUUGUAUCCUAUGUUCAUACCCUGGGGUGUGAUGACAAUGAAGAGUUUCUUCACUCGGUGGUUGCUGAGGUUUUGGACAUGUUGCUCUACCUUGGUCCGUUGCAUGAGUUACCAGAGCAUGUGACAUCUGCAAGUUCUUCUCAGGGGAAUAAGUGCCCGUCUGCUGCUUACCACUUACUCCAUCUUCAUUUAGAUGUACGGUGGUGGAGCCUUGUUCUCCUGCACCUUGUAGAGUCAGCCUUUGGUUUUACCCCUCAAGCUGCUUCUCACUCCGUGGAUUCUCUCAUCUUGGUAUCAGAGCCACAGGGACCCCAGGGUGGAGCUUCAUCAGAAUUAAUUGAACACUCGCCCAUAGAGGAGUGUAUCUCCAUGGUAGUGUGGGACCUGAUCACCGUCAUGCUUCGGAAAGGACUCAAGAAGAGUGUGAGUGACUUGUACCAAGUGGCAGGAUUUUCCUGUACUUGUUCACUGGAGAUGGGACUGAUGACACUCCACCUCUUGGACCACAGACAUGCUCAUCAUGGCAAGAAGAAUUACUGGGAGCAAAUAAAGCGCAGGCUAUUAGUUCUCCUGAAAGUCUACAGUGAGUCCUCUACCCCAUCCACACAAACGUCUUCCAGUACCUCCUCACCAUCGUCCACCUCCAUGUUGUCCUCAGAGCAAAAUUUCCAAGUCAUUCAGUACCCAGCAGCCAUUGUUAAGGGAGCUCAACUUCCUCAUAUAUGGUGGAUCUUCUAUAACUUCUCUCAACUUUAUGGGUACGAUAUGAAUGGAAAGAAAAUAAUGGAGAAAUCAAUUGAAAUUAAAAGUGAGACAAAGCUACUAAGAACGCUAAUCAAGUUAUCUCUCGGUGAACCCAAAAGUGGAUCCCAACCAACAGAAGCCGAGCUGCGAUUUUAUGUGCGAUGUUGUUUCAGUCUAAGUCAACUGUGGGGGGGAGAGAAGAGCAGUGAGUGGGCUGUAGCUCUUUGGGAUUAUUUUUCCAAGCACCUUGAUUCAUCUUUUCUCCUCCCCGGUGCAGGUCUGGAAGGACUGGCGUGUGUUAGUAAAACUGCAAGUGGAUGGUUAGAGCAAGUUAGGUCCCGAACUUGCAACUUGGCAGCAAUAGGAAAGUCCGAAACAUCAUGGCAAAUUUUUCUCAGGAUUGUUGUGGGAGUGGUGGAGACCAGUCCAGCAGAAUGGCGGCAGGUGAGAGGCCGUAUCUACUCUAAGUUUCACGGACGCAAGAUGUCGGAGCUUUCACCACUGGGCCUCUAUAACUCCAGCACACUCUUCCUCACCCUGGCCAACACAACAGAUCUUGUUGGUGUGAGCAACAAACUAGGUGAACUAUUGUAUAUGGUUCCAACGUCCAGUGUCAGUAAAUCACGAAUUGUGUGGCGAGGAUACUUGGCAACCAUGUUGUUGUUGUUAGAGUCUGGGUGUGACAUAUCUCCAGUUGUUAAAAAAUUUAGUCCUAUUUUAGCAGCCACCUGCCAUGAGUACAUAACAUCCAGAGAUUCCAUGCAUAGAAGGGACUUGGGGCAACUGAUCACAAUAUAUGCUGAUGGAGUCCAGGAAGUGUUUGACCAGAGCUUUAACCUGACACUAUCGCAACAUUCCCUCAUAUGUGGAGGUUUGAGUGGUGUUCUCCAACAUGCCAGUAGUAUUGAAAUGAAGGCUAUUCUUGGUGCCUCAGACACCGCCCUCACUAAGGUUAUUGACAUCUCUUCAAAACCUCAGUACCUGGCAGGGUUAAAUACGGAAAUUGUGGAUGUUAUUUGGAGAGAAUUUGGUUCGUUCAUCAAAUCUCACGCUACCACUCUGACACCACCAGCAGUCCUUGGAACAGUUGCUGCUUCUCUCACCUUCUGCUUGGGUCACAAUGUUAGUAAUCCUACUUCAGGAAACAAAGAAGCUGCUUUGGGACUGUUUACUUAUUUUACUACAAAUGAUGCUGUGAAUCCACUAUCCACUCUGCAGUAUGUCUCAUCCCUCCUAGAAAUACCAGGCAGCAUAUCCAUGUUGAGUGACAUUUGUUCAGCAUAUGAGGGUCAUUUAAUCUCUGGUUGGUUAUCAAGUUUAAUAAUAAUGGGAAACUGUGAUGAGGCAAUUGCACUCACUCCCAAGAUGAUGAGUUUGCCCGGAGUAGCAGAAGUUCUCCAUCGUCAUCCACCUGCAUGCCCAUUUGCAGCGGCAAAGUGUCUGGCAGAAGGAGUUGCUAAGAAAUAUUCAGAAACACAGAUCUUCACAACCCGUGUAGCCUUUAGAGAUGCAGCCUUACAAUACUUCUCUGGGCUAGACAAGGCUUUGGGGAUCUUGUUGAAGAAAGUUCCCCCACCAGAUCAUCUCUCAUCAGUCUUAGAAAUGGUGGCUGAUCUUUUCUUUCAUGCACAUUCCAUUAUCUACAUUAAGUCAAGAGUCACCUGUCCUAUGCCAGGCCUCAUCAGUACACUUCUUCUCCCGAGUGCAGUGUAUGAGCCUGAGAAGCCCCUCAACUCACACUUGGCCUUGGCAUUAGCUAAUACUUUACCAAAGAUGGUGUGUGCGAUGGGGUGCCUGGGCUUGGCUCAAGACCCAUACCUGGUACGUUGCGUCAGGAACGUCUUCACACACUACAUGUACCGCUUCCCAGUCAAGACCAGUAACAGCUACACAUCCACAACACACCCUUUUAUUAUUUGUCUCCACAAUGGGGAUGUGCGAGAGGAGGCGAUACAAGAAUUACGAUCCGUGUUUCUGGAGGUCGUGCGUGACAGUUACUUGCGCAGGCGAGGUGUCAGCAAUGUACAUCUUCAAAUGAUUAUGAGAGACGUUUAUGAACAUAUAUGAUGCGCAGGUCGCCAGUAGGCCAUGGGAUGUGACUGCCCGUCUCAAUGUAAACAAGUAAUUUCCUUGGUGCUGGAACUUUUGAAUAAAAGUACGAGUGAGUGGAUGGAGGGGGUGUGUUGCACAUUAUUUCUACCCCUCCUGGAGCUACUACUUACACUGGAGGAGCCAACAACGAAAAGGG